rnacentral:rRNA from 1 species
UACGUAGGGUGCAAGCGUUGUCCGGAAUUAUUGGGCGUAAAGAGCUCGUAGGCGGUCUGUCGCGUCGGCUGUGAAAACUCGGGGCUCAACUCCGAGCUUGCAGUCGAUACGGGCAGGCUAGAGUCCGGAAGAGGAGAGUGGAAUUCCCGGUGUAGCGGUGAAAUGCGCAGAUAUCGGGAAGAACACCCGUGGCGAAGGCGGCUCUCUGGGACGGUACUGACGCUGAGACGCGAAAGCGUGGGGAGCGAACAGG